UACGUAGGUGGCAAGCGUUGUCCGGAUUUAUUGGGUUUAAAGGGUGCGUAGGCGGUCUUCUAAGUCAGUUGUGAAAUACUUCAGCUUAACUGGAGAGGUGCAAUUGAUACUGGAAGACUUGAGUACUGAUGAGGUAGGCGGAAUGGACGGUGUAGCGGUGAAAUGCUUAGAUAUCGUCCAGAACACCGAUAGCGAAGGCAGCUUACUAAGGAGUAACUGACGCUGAGGCACGAAAAGUGUGGGGAUCAAACAGG
rnacentral:rRNA from 1 species